rnacentral:rRNA from 1 species
AACGAACGCUGGCGGCGCGCCUAAUACAUGCAAGUCGAGCGAGAAGGUGUAGCAAUACACUUGUAAAGCGGCGAACGGGUGAGGAAUACAUGGGUAAUCUACCAUCGAGUGGGGAAUAACCAGCCGAAAGGUUGGCUAAUACCGCGUACGCCUCCGAAUCUUCGGGUUCGGAGGGAAAGCCACACUGUGAGUGCGGCGCUCUUUGAUGAGCUCAUGUCCUAUCAGCUUGUUGGUGGGGUAACGGCCUACCAAGGCUUUGACGGGUAGCUGGUCUGAGAGGACGAUCAGCCACACUGGCACUGCGACACGGGCCAGACUCCUACGGGAGGCAGCAGUAAGGAAUAUUGCGCAAUGGGCGAAAGCCUGACGCAGCGACGCCGCGUGGGGGAUGAAGGUCUUCGGGAUUGUAAACCCCUUUCGGGAGGGAAGAUGGAGCGAGCAAUCGUUCGGACGGUACCUCCAGAAGCAGCCACGGCCAACUUCGUGCCAGCAGCCGCGGUAAU